rnacentral:rRNA from 1 species
AUUGAACGCUGGCGGCAGGCUUAACACAUGCAAGUCGAGCGAGCGGCGGACGGGUGAGUAAUGUCUGGGAAACUGCCUGAUGGAGGGGGAUAACUACUGGAAACGGUAGCUAAUAACGCAUACUAUCAGAUGUGACCAGAUGGGAUUAGCUAGGAGGGGGGGUAAUGGCUCACCUAGGCGACGAGCCCUUGCUUGGCGGAGAGGAGGACCGGCCACACUGGAGUUGAGACACGGUCCAGACUCCUACGGGAGGCAGCAGUGGGGAAUAUUGCACAAUGUGCGCAAUCCUGAUGCAGCCAUGCCGCGUGUGUGGAGAAGGCCUUCUGGUUGUAAAGCACUUUCAGCGAGGAGGCGUUACUCGCAGAAGAAGCACCGGCUAACUCCGUGCCAGCAGCCGCGGUAAUAC